rnacentral:rRNA from 2 species
UGAGGAAUAUUGGUCAAUGGUCGGGAGACUGAACCAGCCAAGUAGCGUGAAGGAUGAAGGUUCUAUGGAUUGUAAACUUCUUUUAUACGGGAAUAACAUCAUCUACGUGUAGAUGCCUGCAUGUACCGUAUGAAUAAGCAUCGGCUAACUCCGUGCCAGCAGCCGCGGUAAUACGGAGGAUGCGAGCGUUAUCCGGAUUUAUUGGGUUUAAAGGGAGCGUAGACGGGAUGUUAAGUCAGUUGUGAAAUGCUGUGGCUCAACCAUAGCACUGCAGUUGAUACUGGCGUUCUUGAGUGCGUAUGAGGUACGUGGAAUUCGUGGUGUAGCGGUGAAAUGCUUAGAUAUCACGAAGAACUCCUAUUGCGAAGGCAGCGUACCAAUCCGUAACUGACGUUGAGGCUCGAAAGUGUGGGUAUCAAACAGG